rnacentral:rRNA from 1 species
AUUGAGCGCUGGCGGCAUGCCUUACACAUGCAAGCCGAACGGUAACAGGUCUUCGGAUGCUGACGAGUGGCGAACGGGUGAUUAAUACAUCGGAACGUGCCUAGUAGUGGGGGAUAACUACUCGAAAGAGUGGCUAAUACCGCAUGAGAUCUACGGAUGAAAGCAGGGGAUCGCAAGACCUUGUGCUACUAGAGCGGCCGAUGGCAGAUUAGGUAGUUGGUGGGAUAAAAGCGUACCAAGCCGACGAUCGGUAGCUGGUCUGAGAGGACGAGCAGCCACACUGGGACUGAGACACGGCCCAGACUCCUACGGGAGGCAGCAGUGGGAAAUUUUGGACAAUGGGCGAAAGCCUGAUCCAGCAAUGCCGCGUGCAGGAUGAAGGCCUUCGGGUUGUAAACUGCUUUUGUACGGAACGAAAAGCCCCGGGUUAAUACCCUGGGGUCAUGACGGUACCGUAAGAAUAAGCACCGGCUAACUACGUGCCAGCCGCCGCCGUAA